rnacentral:lncRNA from 1 species
GCCUCGUAAAGAAAGUUCCUGCUGCUUCUUCUGCUAUGAUUGUAAAUUUCCUGAGGCCUCUCCAGCCACGCAGAACUAUGGUGUCAGAAUUGGAACAUGAAGUAGAACUUCCAGUAACCCCUAGGAGCAUCAAGUGACCCAGAGAGGUAACCCCCUCCACCAGGGUCCAUUGCAUCCAUUGCUCUCUCACAGCAACUGAGGCUCAUGGUGGUAACUUUGUGAGACAAGCCUCAAAUUUUACCACUGUACCAAGAAAUGAAAGCCAGAAUGUGGAAUUGGAGCUGGUAAUGACGACGUCAGGACAGGUUCAAAGGAAGCCCAUCACUUGAGUAAAAAUUUAUAGCCCUGCUUGUGCUGUGCUGUGCUGUGCUGUGAGUUUCAGUUCCGGGCCAGCAAAAGAUUUAUCAAAGGAAAGCAACAAGGUGUGUGGAAAUAGAAGGUAAGAAAAAUUAAUUUCAGAGAGGAAAAUAAAGUUGCUUGAGGGGCUCUUCAAUGACCAAAGGCCAUAAGAGACUGGAAGGCAAAAGGACCCAUUAAUGUAAUCCAAACAUCAGUCUCCUGCAGCAAAGAGGUGAAUGGAGAAGGGUGGAGAGUAGCUGUGGACGAGUGAAAAAGACAUCGCACCAUGUCUUCAAAUUACAUCCAGCAACUUCAUAUGAACUAUGAAACCCUUGUUGCCACAAUAGUCCCUCUUUGUUUGAACUACUACAAGAAUAAAGAAAUUUCUUUCUAAUCUUUUGCAGAAGAAUUACAUAGACUCUCACUUACUGCUCUUGUUUCAUAGGUGGCUGAUUUUCCAAUUAUAUUAAAUACUUUUGGAAGGGCUGGGACUACAUCUAAUUUCUUGAAAAGUCUGGUGCUGUGGAAGACCAAGACCCAGACUGUUGAGGUCAGCCUAAUGUAAUGUGAAAUAUCUAAACUCUGCGUACUUCUUUACCAUGAGUGUAUAGAUAAAAUAUCAUUGCAUUUAAGGAAAUUGCUUAAAGCCUCACAGUGAAUAAAGUUGACAAAACAUGUAGACUUAUUGCAGAUUUUAUGCAUUUAGGUUUUAUGGCUUCAUUUGCAAUCAGGACUCCCCUCCCCUCCCUUCCUCCCUUCCUUCCCUUCCCUUCCCUGUCCUUCUUUCUUUCCUUUCCUUCCCCUUCCUUCCUUCUCCUCGUCCUGUUU